rnacentral:lncRNA from 1 species
UACUUUGUUUUUGGCAUGUUAUCAGAUUUGGCUUUCCAACAUUGGUAUUGACCUUGAAUUACUGCAAGUAACCAGGUAGAGUUGAUGUGUCUCAUAAUGGUGACGUGACCAAGAUGUGUAGUAGAAAGGACACAUUUCCUAUCUUUUACAGGUUCGUGUCCACACAUCACUCUGAACUGAGCAUUAAUGUUAACAGGGGACACGGUCGGGGUCCAGGUUUAUGAUGAUUGUGACCCUGUCACUUGUUACCAUGGCUUCUCUGCAGGUAUUCAGGUAAUGGUUGGUUCCUUACCAAUUCUUAAUACCAUGAACUUUCAGUUUUCAUGCUUUAGAGAGUAUCUUUAACUCUGUGACUCAUGAGCAAUUACACAUAGCAGGUAUUGAUUAUGAUUGCUCAAGCACAGUAGUGAUCAUGGAAUUUCUGCAGGUAUCUUGUAAAGAAGUGUUAUUUCCUGACAAGGGUCAUGCCCUAGGAGAACUGCAAAUAUUCAAGUAGAGUUGAUCAUAAUGCUGUCAAUGACGGAGCUUGUUUGCAAGUGUCCUAGUAGAGUAAGCUAUGUCCUUUUAUACGUGUAUCAUAAUGUGCUUUUCAGGUUCUGCAAGAGAUGAAUAUUCAUUCUGAUGGUCAUUCUCUGGGGACAUUUCUUUGUCUGGGUAGGUAAUGAUGUGCACCUUUCCCAGCAGACAUUGCAUCUUCUCAUAUCUAGGUCUCUGUUCGGAUUGACUAAAUUUACUUAUCAUGUGGAUUUUUUCAGGUAAUCAGAUAAGAAAUGAUAGUAUUUUUACCAAUGGUAGCAAUCCUGAUAUGCUGCUGUUUGCAAUUUAGAAAAAAAUGUAUGCUUACUCAUGGGAGUGUUCAGUGGCUCUUGAAUAUCCACAUCAUGAUGGUGGAAUUGUGUGGCACAGCAGUAACCAUGGUGCUUUUGCCAGGGGGCUGGGAGGAGACGCUGGCGUGUCGAACUUUGGCACAAAGCUUGGAGUCCUGCAUGAAGCCAGAGAGAACCGAUGGGUCCUACAGUGAUGGCUACACACAGGGUUAUUUGAAGAGUCCUAGUAGAAAUUGUGCCUCCAUACACAUAACUGUCACAAGGGGCUCUUUGCAUUCUAGUCAAGAAAUCACAGUGAAUCUGAAAAUGAUCCUGAAUAGGCCUUUGAUGUCUCCAGAUAUUCAUUUCAGAAAUUAA